rnacentral:SRP_RNA from 1 species
UCGUGCUAGGCGGGGAGUCAGCGGUGCCUUGAAAUCCGCCUCAGGCGGAUGACCCGAAAUCCGCUUAUGCGGGGUCGAAUACUCCAUUUGAGUCAGGAUUUUUAGGGGCAACAGCAAGAAGUUGAAGGGUGAUGAGGAUUGGGUCUUAUGAUGGUACCGUCUAUAAACCCCGUCAGAUCUGGAAAGAAGCAGCGGUAAGUAGGAAAGGGCUGGUCAUAAGUAAGCCUGGUCUGAGCUCUUCGUCUUACUGUUCCUGAAAAGGCUGGCAAAGGGAGUUGCGCGA